GUCUACGGCCAUGCUGGAUCAAGCUGGAUUCCGUUUGAUCUUGAAAGCUAAGCCUGGUUAGUACUUGGAUGGGAGACCACUUAGGAAGAUCAGAUGCUGUAGGCG
rnacentral:rRNA from 1 species